AGAAUCAACGCUGGCGGCGUGCCUAACACAUGCAAGUCGAACGAGAAAGUGGAGCAAUCCAUGAGUAAAGUGGCGCACGGGUGAGUAACACGUGACUAACCUACCUUUUAGUGGGGGAUAACCUAGGGAAACCUGGGCUAAUACCGCAUAAUACCUACGGGUCAAAGCAGCAAUGCGCUGGAAGAGGGGGUCGCGGUCGAUUAGUUAGUUGGCAGGGUAAUGGCCUACAAGACUGUGAUCGAUA
rnacentral:rRNA from 1 species